UGCGUUUCGGUUUGAAAAGCGGGGCAG
rnacentral:sRNA from 1 species